CGCGUAGGCGGGCUAGCAAGUCUGGGGUGAAAUCUUUCGGCUUAACCGGAAAAGUGCCUUGGAUACUGCUAGUCUCGAGUGAGGUAGGGGCAGGGGGAACUUCUGGUGGAGCGGUGAAAUGCGUUGAUAUCAGAAGGAACGCCGGUGGCGAAAGCGCCCUGCUGGACCUCUUCUGACGCUGAGGCGCGAAGGCUAGGGUAAGGCAAACG
rnacentral:rRNA from 1 species